AGGGUAAAACUUUAAGUCCGACCUGAGGCCUGCAGAUAGGGGCGUGGAGCAAGAGGUUGAAUCUGUCCCAACUAGCAAUGAUUUCAUCAAUCAUGCCAAUAUAGUGAAGUCUCCAUAAAAACCCAAAAGGAUGAGGUUUGGAGAGCUUCAAGGUUGUGAACCCAUGGAGGUGCUGGAGUGAUGUGCCUGAAGAGGUUAUCCGGAGCUCUGUGGCCUUUCCCUAUACUUUACCCAUGGCAUCUCUUCUAUCUAGAUUUUCUGAGUUAUAUCCUCUUAUAAUAAGCCAGUAAUCUAAUUUUUGAAAAUACUGUUUUCUCUAACUCUGAAACUUUAGAAUUUCUACAUGCUUGUCUUCAGUACUAUUUUCUCCAUCAGUGGUCACAGCUCAUCCCUCAGGCUGCCUACUGUCCCAUCAUCUAAGAAGGAAUCUAAGAGGGCAGUUUGCUCAAAGCUCCUGUUCUCUGAAAACACUUCCCAAGUGUAGCCCUUGCAGGAUCUCUGGGAGGGCUCCACGACUGAGAUGUUUGGUCUUCAUCACUGGAAGGAGAGUCAAGCUGUCUCAAAGUACCUCAUUGGCAGACUCAGCCUGAAGGUAAAUGUGGAUAAAUUACCAAGUCACAGAUGAUAAAUGCAAGAAAACUCUUGGGAAGUACUUUUACUUCCCCAAAGAUUUUGGGUGCCCAGAGAACCCAGAUUAUAAGUGGCUCACUGGAGUCUUACAGCUGGAAGACAUGUUCCAACCAAGUGACUGAUUUUAUUUGUCACUGAAUGUCUGACUGAUUUCAUCAAAGUUUCUACUCUGUCCAGACAAGCAGGAGAAUAAAGUAUUCGGUCACAGACAA